UGGGGAAUAUUGCACAAUGGGCGCAAGCCUGAUGCAGCCAUGCCGCGUGUAUGAAGAAGGCCUUCGGGUUGUAAAGUACUUUCAGCGGGGAGGAAGGUGUUGUGGUUAAUAACCACAGCAAUUGACGUUACCCGCAGAAGAAGCACCGGCUAACUCCGUGCCAGCAGCCGCGGUAAUACGGAGGGUGCAAGCGUUAAUCGGAAUUACUGGGCGUAAAGCGCACGCAGGCGGUUUGUCAAGUCGGAGGGGAAAUCCCCGGGCUCAACCUGGGAACUGCAUCCGAAACUGGCAGGCUUGAGUCUUGUAGAGGGGGGUAGAAUUCCAGGUGUAGCGGUGAAAUGCGUAGAGAUCUGGAGGAAUACCGGUGGCGAAGGCGGCCCCCUGGACAAAGACUGACGCUCAGGUGCGAAAGCGUGGGGAGCAAACA
rnacentral:rRNA from 1 species